rnacentral:tRNA from 4 species
GGGCGUGUCGCCUAAGGGAUAAGGGCAUCGGUCUUCUAAACCGACUCGUAUAGGUUCGACUCCUAUCACGCCUGCCA